AGCAGGGUGGCUCUGUGGCAAGAGCCCGGGCUUGGGAGUCAGAUGUCGUGGGUUCGAGUUCCGCCUCUGCCA
rnacentral:tRNA from 1 species